GAUGAACGCUGGCGGCGUGCCUAACACAUGCAAGUCGAGCGAUUCCUUCGGAGAAGAGCGGCGGACGGGUGAGUAACGCGUGGGUAACCUGCCCUGUACACACGGAUAACAUACCGAAAGGUAUGCUAAUACGAGAUAAUAUGCUUUUAUCGCAUGGUAGAAGUAUCAAAGCUCCGGCGGUACAGGAUGGACCCGCGUCUGAUUAGCUAGUUGGUAAGGUAACGGCUUACCAAGGCGACGAUCAGUAGCCGACCUGAGAGGGUGAUCGGCCACAUUGGAACUGAGACACGGUCCAAACUCCUACGGGAGGCAGCAGUGGGGAAUAUUGCACAAUGGGCGAAAGCCUGAUGCAGCAACGCCGCGUGAGCGAUGAAGGCCUUCGGGUCGUAAAGCUCUGUCCUCAAGGAAGAUAAUGACGGUACUUGAGGAGGAAGCCCCGGCUAACUACGUG
rnacentral:rRNA from 1 species